CUCUGACCAGUUGUGGUAGCACUGCUGUCAGUGUCAGCCGAGGAGGAUGCAGUCGAGUGGAGAGUGACACGAGUGACGGCGAACUGCCGCUCCCGCCUCGUCGAAGCCGCCCAGCUCGGCGUCCGCGUCGUCGUCCUCGUCCCCGGAGAGCCCCGAGUCGUGGCCGGCGCUGUGACAGUCCACCGGAGCUCGGCGGCGGGAGUGGACCCUCAAAGCGUCGAAGGCGGCUCGUUUCGACGAAGUGACCGAAGAAGAGACGUUUUUAGCCGGCUUCGCCUCGCCGAAGCCCACAGGUGCAACUUUCGUCACGCGGCUCGUUCCGCUACCCAUCCCGAGGUUAAGCGUCUACUUCAGUCAUCUUAAAGUCGCCGCGAGUGUCCCGGUUAAAGUGAAAUGGGACAUAAAAGUAACAAGUCAGCCUCAGUUUGGACUUUAAUGCCACUUUGUUGAGCGCAUGACCCAAACGCAGCUCCACAUAAGGAUGUGAAACGGCGGCUUGGUUAUGUAACACGACUUGGACGCAGCAGCACAUGGGGGAGAGAAAAAAAACCCACUCCGCCUUCUCAUAAAAGGACAAACAUUCAUCGUUGAGUUUUCCAUCGUUUUUUCCUCUCAUCUUUUUUUGGUAGCAAGAAAAAACUACCGUUUUUUUUCGAGAUAAAAAUAAUACUACGAAUAUGACGUCAUAAAAGUCGUAAUAUUACAAGA